UUCAAAGAGACUGUGAGUAAUCGUUAUAUAAUAACCACAAAAAUAAGAGCAACCAUGGCGUUCAGACUCCAGGUCAAUCUUGCAAACAUGAGUGACGCAAUGCAAUGGGAGGCUCUGUAGUGCUCACUUCUGGCUUUAUCUACGAAUUUGGACAUCGCUACCUAUGUAUUUGAGGAAAGGCACGGAGGAUACUGGCACUGCAUUGCAGGGCUUUCUUUUAGUUGGCGCCUAGGACAAGCAGACGCUCGUUAUGUACACUUCACUCUUAACAAUACGAAUAUUCUGCUCUUCAAGACUGGCAGAGAGACAGCAACUGUUCAACAUAUUGCAGUUA